GUUUUGGUAGCUCAGCCCGGUUUAGAGCAUCAGAUUGCAAUUGGAUUACACUGGUUACUAUCUGAGGGUCUCGGGUUCGAAUCCCGAUCGAAACU